UCUGCUGAACCAGGAGUUUGAGUUUUUGGUAUGCAAACUAAAAAUAUAUUUGAAGCUAUUUAUACUAAUGACUUCUAAAAGGAAGGGACUCAUUUAAUAAAAAAAUAACUCCUCAGUCUCCAGUUGAAUACAUAUGGUGAAAGUUGUUUAGAAUGAUUACGGGGUGUCAUUCAGUGACAAAGGGGCCUGUUCCAGGAAAUCUUCCUGACUCAAAAGUCAUUCUGAAUUCUGCAAGGGACAUUUGGUGUGGACAAAAGGUUUUGGAUGCUGCUUUUGUGGAGUAUGUGAAAAGAGUUGUAGAAGACAGGGGGUCAGUGAGAUCAGAGCAUACCACAAAUG